rnacentral:rRNA from 1 species
AUACGUAGGUGCCAAGCGUUAUCCGGAUUUACUGGGCGUAAAGGGCGUGUAGGCGGUCUUGCAAGUCAGAAGUGAAAUUCCUGAGCUCAACUCGGGCGCUGCUUCUGAAACUGCAGGACUUGAGUGCUGGAGGGGAUAGCGGAAUUCCUAGUGGAGCGGUAAAAUGCGCAGAUAUUAGGAAGAACACCGGUGGCGAAGACGGCUAUCUGGACAGUAUCGGACGCUGAGGUGCGAAAGCGUGGGGGGCAAAAAGGAUUAGAUCCCCUGGUAGUCCACGCCGUAAACGAUGAAUACUAGGUGUAGGGGGUAUCGACUCCCUCUGUGCCGCAGUUAACACAAUAAGUAUUCCGCCUGGGGAGUACGGCCGCAAGGUUGAAACUCAAAUGAAUUGGCGGGG